GACGAACGCUGGCGGCGUGCUUAACACAUGCAAGUCGAACGGAAAGGCCCUGCUUUUGUGGGGUGCUCGAGUGGCGAACGGGUGAGUAACACGUGAGUAACCUGCCCUUGACUUUGGGAUAACUUCAGGAAACUGGGGCUAAUACCGGAUAGGAGCUCCUGCUGCAUGGUGGGGGUUGGAAAGUUUCGGCGGUUGGGGAUGGACUCGCGGCUUAUCAGCUUGUUGGUGGGGUAGUGGCUUACCAAGGCUUUGACGGGUAGCCGGCCUGAGAGGGUGACCGGCCACAAUGGGACUGAGAGACGGCCCAGACGGCUACGGGAGGCAGCAGUGGGGAAUAUUGCACAAUGGGCGGAAGCCUGAUGCAGCAACGCCGCGUGCGGGAUGACGGCCUUCGGGUUGUAAACCGCUUUCGCCUGUGACGAAGCGUGAGUGACGGUAAUGGGUAAAGAAGCACCGGCUAACUACGUG
rnacentral:rRNA from 1 species